rnacentral:rRNA from 1 species
UACGUAGGGACCGAGCGUUGUCCGGAUUCAUUGGGCGUAAAGAGCUCGUAGGCGGCCACUCAAGUCGAAUGUGAAACCUCGAGGCUCAACCUCGAGCCUGCAUUCGAUACUGGGCGGCUAGAGUCUGGUGGGGGGAUCUGGAAUUCCUGGUGUAGCGGUGAAAUGCGUAGAUAUCAAGAGGAACACCUGAGGUGAAGACGGGUUGCUGGGCCAACACUGACGCUGAGGCGCGAAAGCCAGGGGAGCAAACGGG